rnacentral:rRNA from 1 species
GAUGAACGCUGGCGGCGUGCCUAAUACAUGCAAGUCGAGCGAACGGACGAGAAGCUUGCUUCUCUGAUGUUAGCGGCGGACGGGUGAGUAACACGUGGAUAACCUACCUAUAAGACUGGGAUAACUUCGGGAAACCGGAGCUAAUACCGGAUAAUAUUUUGAACCGCAUGGUUCAAAAGUGAAAGACGGUCUUGCUGUCACUUAUAGAUGGAUCCGCGCUGCAUUAGCUAGUUGGUAAGGUAACGGCUUACCAAGGCAACGAUGCAUAGCCGACCUGAGAGGGUGAUCGGCCACACUGGAACUGAGACACGGUCCAGACUCCUACGGGAGGCAGCAGUAGGGAAUCUUCCGCAAUGGGCGAAAGCCUGACGGAGCAACGCCGCGUGAGCGAUGAAGGUCUUCGGAUCGUAAAACUCUGUUAUUAGGGAAGAACAUAUGUGUAAAUAACUGUGCACAUCUUGACGGUACCUAAUCAGAAAGCCACGGCUAACUACGUG